rnacentral:lncRNA from 1 species
GCAUUCCAACCCUGAUUCAGUUCAUAUCCGUCGACCAAGAGAGCCAAUCAUCACACUUCAUGGUCACCACUGAUAAACAAGGGAACAGAGACCCCCAAGCAUCUCUCAUCCUUUCUAUUGUCAAAUGGUCUGUAAUACCUGAACUUCAAGCUAGAGACGCAGUGUCCCAUGGUCCCACCAUAAUGUUGAAUGAUGGAAUCCUAAAAAGGGGUCAAACAGUUAGUGGGAUGGACUUCCACGUGAUCAGUUUGACAAGCUUGUGGACAAAAAAAAUGUUCAGAAUCUGAAUUUUUGGUUCGAUCUAUCUAUUUCCAUCCACCUUGCAAACUUAUGCACAUACAGCGCAAUUUACUCAAAUUUCAAAAUGUGGUGGACCUUUAUUAUGGGUGUGUCUAACAAACAGCCGUCUGAUUUUUAUUUGGACUUAGGUCGCUUUUUUAAGCCAAUUGCAAUGUGCCAGCUGUAGUACAUCUGUAUGUACGUUCCACAUCUCCCCGCUCUAACGGCCCCCAAAAACUUAAAUGGGUUUGGACUUUGAAAGUUGAAAAAACUGAACCGAACAUCAGGCUGUCUCUUUUUCACAUACAGAGGCUGGGAGAUGGAUGACACAUAGAGUAACAUAAAGAGUCCCCUCUUUAAAAAAGCUCUGACUCUUCUUCUAGCUCAAAUGUGAUGUAAAACAAAAAAAACAAAAAAAUACAGAAAAACAUGUACGUGAUGAGAAGAAAAUAGUAAAAGAAUGAAUACAAAAGUUACGAGGAAAAUGACCGAGGACAAAAAUAACGUGUUCUACAAGUAAAACAAAAUUACUUCAUCUGCUCAUUCUGUUUUUACUUCACCAAGACAAAGAAUGACUAAAGACUAAAGGGGUUUGCACUAAAGAUUAGUUAUCCAUCAGAAAAAUAUAUGAUCAAUAUCAAGAUAAUGAACAUGGAUGAAACUCAAGAAUGAUUUAAGAUAUUAGGGAAUGAUAACCGAAGGUUAAGGUAAAUAAAACAAAGAUAACUGAGGAGAGAAAGAAUGAGAGUGAAUAACAAAAAAAAAAAGAAGAACGGAUAAUCACCUUCAAUGUCUGAAGACUGAUGAGAACUAGCACACAAAUAAAAUCUGCAGAACUAGUGACUGAAUGACAAGUGAACUGACGGGGAUAUCUACAAAAUGUCUAUGAUUUCUUGCUUGUUCUCUGUGUUUUAUGUGUUUUUAGAGAGUUUGUUCACACUUUUUUCACUCAAUUUGGUUGCAGUGCGCCAACAAGCCCUUUGUAUCUAUAUUUCCGUGGAGUUUUCUCACUACUAGAACAUGGAAAAUGCAGCUAUCUAUCUCUAACAUUCAGUUUUCAUUAUUUUUUCCAGAGAAAAUGUUUCUGCAGCCGUAAAAGAUUUCUCUGGAAAAAAUGGAGAGUAUCUUGUUGCUUCCCUGAAUAAGUGAUAGUGCCUUGCUCUUUCCUGAAUAAAAGUAAUAGUACCUCGUUCUUUCCUGAAUAAUUAAGAGACACUCAAGACUGAGGGUUAUUUACUCAACAAAAGAAAGAAUAAACACCGGGUGUAUGCAGGAAACCAAAGACGGAGCAAACCUCUACUAAAAACAUGUUUGUAAUCAUCGCUCAGGAAUAAGAACACAUGCAUAUCACAAAACAAACUUGUGCCAUUGACAAAAGCUACUGACCAAAAAUCAGAGAAAAGAAACUGAAAUAACCGAAGAAAGGAAACUGAAGAAACUAAAGGGAGUAGGAAGAUAGACAUAUAAUGAAGGAUUGUCUGCUUAUUUAACUCAUGCUUGGCCCAAAAAGAGUAAAUAAAAGAAACUGAAAAGAUAACGAAGAAGAUAAUAUCAUCUGAAAGACUAAAUGAUGAGUAUAACUCUUGAAUGAUAGACAGAAUAGUGAUGUGUGCUCUCUGAACAUGGAUUGGUGAGUCAACUAUAAGAACAAUGACUGAUAAUAAUAAACAUUGAUAGACCAAUAGAGUAAGAACGCUCAUCUCAAGCUCAUUGCCGACCUUUGUCUUGCAUGUUACUAACACAUCCGCUCCAAUCUCAAGUCUUGUCCUCGUAAGAAACUUCUUCCAUCCAUUCUUGAAGAAGAUCAGACCAUCGGAUGCGGUAUUGUACUCGGUUCCAGUGAUGCUCUUUUUGCCCAAGCUUAAAUGAGUGAAGCAAUUACAGACUAAAAUAAGUGAAUCAACUACAAGACUGAUGUUGGGAUACUGAUCAACUAAAUUAAACAAGGCUGAAAUCAUAAUUCAAAUUGAUGAAAACUAAAACUGAACUAAAAGGUAAACUGUUGCGAUAGUUGAACUGAACUGAAUGUGAAAAAAUGAUCCAAUAAAAUGUACAUAGCUUAUAGAGAGAUAUGCGUGGGCAUGGGCGAGUGCUGAGUAAAAACUAUUGCCCAUAAAUGAACUGAAAAGUCGAAAAAUGAUGAACGGUUUGCCAAGAGUGAAAGUACUUGGCAUGGGCCGGUGAUGGUCGGCAGGCAUCCCUGUCAGACAUGAUGGUGGCAUGAAGGAUACAUUUUAGAAGGAAAAGAAGAUACCGGAAGAGUUGCGGCUGUCGGCGGUCUUCUUGGUGCUGACCCCAUGCAAAGUAAAUGAAUAAUACAGUACUGAAAUGACAAAUGUAGAUACACUGAAAACUGAUGGACCGAAGAAAAAUACACCAAAACACUGACAAAACUGAAUACUCACAAAGGAAAACACAAAAAGUGCUUUUAAUUGUAUGUUCCAGUUUUCCCAUCAACCAAUUGUAGGUUCCAGUUUACAAUUAUUAACUUACACGAAAACAAAGCGUGCUUUUAGUUUUUCACAUCAAAAAGAGCCGCACCUGCAGACCCACCAAAAGAGGCAGAAAGAUAGGGAGGUUACCCAUGAAAGCAUAGAUGCCACUCUCCUAAUCAUCUAAGGAUGAUCCAAAAACCGAAGAGAAGAUACCAGUGGUCAUA